rnacentral:lncRNA from 1 species
UUGGUUUUUGGGGGGAGCGCCAUGGAUCCAAGGAGGGGAGCGGCCAUGGAUUCAAGGGGUGGACGCGAGAAAAAGCAGCGCCGGGCGGCGACCGAAGAUCUUUGGCGAAAAUCCGGGGUAAAUGUAGUGGUUCUUUCGAUUCAUUGAUUAUUCGUUGCGUUUGCCAAGGCAUUGCCAAAUGGAUGUGGAAGCUGUUCUCAAGGUAUGCAUCUGUGUGUGUGUGUGUGUGAUCUCGCUAACUUUGGUUCCACCUUUUCGAAGUUCGUUUGGAGAUUUCUUCAUCGAUCUUAAUCUUCAAGGUAAGAGAGCUCUGUAGAAAGUGCUAGAUUUUUUAUUUUUCACGGGUGGAGCUUCUUCUCCAGACCAGCGAUGUUUCUGCUUCGAGAUCAGUGAUCGAUGUGGAAGCUCCUCUCAAAGGUAUGUAUUUUAUUUUUUCUUUUCUCUCUUCUUUUUGCUGACUUUCGUUGAAGUGAGUGGAGCUUCUCCAGAUCAGCGAUGCUUGGAGAUUGUCUACUGAGAAGCGGCUACAAUCACGUUCUUGAGUUGCCGAAUGUUUCUCUCGAGGCCAGUACUUUUCCUCACAAUCUCCUUGAGAGCUUCGGCUCUGCGUCUCAUUGUUUUUCCUUCUUCGCCAUUCAUUACAGCAUCUAUGAUCUUCUCCAAGUCUUCGCAUUUGACACCAUCGUCGGGUCCAUCAGCCAACUUCACCCCAGUCUUCCACUUCUCCG